rnacentral:rRNA from 1 species
UACAGAGGUCCCAAGCGUUGUUCGGAUUCAUUGGGCGUAAAGGGUGCGUAGGCGGCGCGGUAAGUCGGGUGUGAAAUCUCGGGGCUUAACUCCGAAACUGCAUUCGAUACUGCCGUGCUUGAGGACUGGAGAGGAGACUGGAAUUUACGGUGUAGCGGUGAAAUGCGUAGAUAUCGUAAGGAACACCAGUGGCGAAGGCGGCUCACUGGCCCGGUACUGACGCUGAGGUGCGAAAGCGUGGGGAGCAAACAGG